AUUGAACGCUGGCGGCAUGCCUUACACAUGCGGGUCGAACGGCAGCACGGGAGCAAUCCUGGUGGCGAGUGGCGAACGGGUGAGUAAUAUAUCGGAACGUGCCCAGUAGUGGGGGAUAACUGCUCGAAAGAGCAGCUAAUACCGCAUACGACCUAAGGGUGAAAGGGGGGGAUCGCAAGACCUCUCGCUAUUGGAGCGGCCGAUAUCAGAUUAGCUAGUUGGUGGGGUAAAGGCCUACCAAGGCAACGAUCUGUAGUUGGUCUGGGAGGACGACCCGCCACACUGGGACUGAGACACGGCCCAGACUCCUACGGGAGGCAGCAGUGGGGAAUUUUGGACAAUGGGCGCAAGCCUGAUCCAGCCAUGCCGCGUGUCUGAAGAAGGCCUUCGGGUUGUAAAGGACUUUUGUCCGGGAGCAAAUACCCAGUGCUAAUAACGCUGGGGGCUGAGAGUACCGGAAGAAUAAGCACCGGCUAACUACGUGCCAGCCGCCGCAGUAAAAC
rnacentral:rRNA from 1 species